CUAAUUAGAAAAGAUUAUGAUUAUAUACCAAGCCAUCCUAAUUAGUUGUCUAUGCAAGUAAUUUCCACCUUCUAUAACUACAAUUUUUUUUCAUUUUUCUUUUAUGGUUUUGUUUUCUACAGUAUGACAACCUCCAAAAGACAAUAUCAUGGACACUUUUAUAACAAAAGUGUUUUUUUAAUAAAAGAUGCAUUUAUAUUCAUACAUUCAAUACACAUGAAUAAAAUGUUGGCAAAAAUGAAUUAUCCUUUUUGUGUCCAAACUUAGAAUCACACAUUUGAUUUGGUAGAUCCAUUAGAAAAAUUGAGAUAUUAAACUCGUCACCGUUGGUUGAGGUGUACAUAAAUUAAAUUAGAGGUGAAAGUUCAUGAGUUGUGUAAAUUGGAAUCGACGCACGCAGGCACGAUGAGUGUGCGGUGGGAUGUGGGCGAUGUGAAUCGUGUUUGGGCAGAAAUGUGGAGGAGUCGCAGUGAUAACAUGGCAGGUGAUCGGGAGCGGUUUUGAUGCGAGUUUGAGCGGCCGCGAGCGUGGUGGAAUUAGGUGCUCAGUGGACGACGUCUGUGCGAUCCGUGGAACGAGGAGCAUGGCGGGGCACGGUUCGAGCUCGACGCAGGAGCGAGUAGAGGGUGUUUGACGUUGUGAUGUGGUUGGUGGAGCGAAUGCGAGGCAGGGGAGCGGAAGAAGAAGGUGAGUUGUUGAUGGAGGAUGAAGAGCACC
rnacentral:lncRNA from 1 species